CAGGUCAUGGAUGAAUCGUCAAACUUUAUCAUCGGUCAUAUGAUAGAUUCAAUCAGCUCGAGUCCAUAUGUGAUUCUCAUGAAUUUUUUUUUUGAUUUAUCACACUGCUAUAGUCAUAGACUUAAUGACUCAGCCUCUUAAAUUUCAUAGGACUACUUUCUUUUGCUAGGAUCGAUAGAUCUCAUCUUGAUACGUACCCC
rnacentral:lncRNA from 1 species